UACAGAGGGUGCGAGCGUUAAUCGGAAUUACUGGGCGUAAAGCGUGCGCAGGCGGCUAUGCAAGACAGAUGUGAAAUCCCCGGGCUUAACCUGGGAACUGCAUUUGUGACUGCAUGGCUAGAGUGCGGCAGAGGGGGAUGGAAUUCCGCGUGUAGCAGUGAAAUGCGUAGAUAUGCGGAGGAACACCGAUGGCGAAGGCAAUCCCCUGGGCCUGCACUGACGCUCAUGCACGAAAGCGUGGGGAGCAAACAGG
rnacentral:rRNA from 1 species